rnacentral:rRNA from 1 species
AUUGAACGCUGGCGGCAUGCUUUACACAUGCAAGUCGAACGGUAACAGGUUAAGCUGACGAGUGGCGAACGGGUGAGUAAUGCAUCGGAACGUGCCCGAUCGUGGGGGAUAACGCAGCGAAAGCUGCGCUAAUACCGCAUACGAUCUGAGGAUGAAAGCGUGGGACCGUAAGGCCUCGCGCGGUCGGAGCGGCCGGUGUCAGAUUAGGUAGUUGGUGGGGUAAAGGCACACCAAGCCGACGAUCUGUAGCUGGUCUGAGAGGACGACCAGCCACACUGGGACUGAGACACGGCCCAGACUCCUACGGGAGGCAGCAGUGGGGAAUUUUGGACAAUGGGCGAAAGCCUGAUCCAGCAAUGCCGCGUGCAGGAAGAAGGCCUUCGGGUUGUAAACUGCUUUUGUACGGAGCGAAAAGGUCCUUUCUAAUACAAGGGGCUCAUGACGGUACCGUAAGAAUAAGCACCGGCUAACUACGUGCCAGCAGCCGCGGUAA